CUAAAUGCAGUCGACGAUUAAGACUUCCUUCGGGAAGUGCAUAAAGUGGCGCACGGGUGAGUAACACGUAAGUAAUCUACCCUCGAGUGGGGAAUAACGUUCGGAAACGAACGCUAAUACCGCAUAAUGCAGCGGCAUCGCAAGAUGACAGUUGUUAAAGGAGUAAUUCGCUUGAGGAGGAGCUUGCGGCAGAUUAGCUAGUUGGUAAGGUAACGGCUUACCAAGGCUACGAUCUGUAUCCGGUCUAAGAGGACGGUCGGACACACUGACACUGAAUAACGGGUCAGACUCCUACGGGAGGCAGCAGUCGGGAAUUUUGGGCAAUGGGCGAAAGCCUGACCCAGCAACGCCGCGUGAAGGAUGAAGUAUUUCGGUAUGUAAACUUCGAAAGAAUGGGAAGAAUAAAUGACGGUACCAUUUAUAAGCUCCGGCUAACUACGUGCCAGCAGCCGCGGUAAUACGUAGGGAGCAAGCGUUGUUCGGAUUUACUGGGCGUAAAGGGCGCGUAGGCGGCGCGGUAAGUCACUUGUGAAAUCUCUGAGCUUAACUCAGAACGGCCAAGUGAUACUGCAGUGCUAGAGUGCAGAAGGGGCAAUCGGAAUUCUUGGUGUAGCGGUGAAAUGCGUAGAUAUCAAGAGGAACACCUGAGGUGAAGACGGGUUGCUGGGCUGACACUGACGCUGAGGCGCGAAAGCCAGGGGAGCAAACGGGAUUAGAUACCCCGGUAGUCCUGGCCCUAAACGAUGAAUACUUGGUGUCUGGAGUUUCAAGACUCCGGGUGCCGUCGCUAACGUUUUAAGUAUUUCCGCCUGGGGGAGUACCCUCGCAAGAGUGAACCUCAAAAGGAAUUGACCGGGGACCCGCACCAAGCGGUGGAGCAUGUGGGUUUAAUUCGACCCACCCCGAAAAACCCUUACCUGGGACUAGAAUGUGAGGGGAU
rnacentral:rRNA from 1 species